UAGUGAAUCUCAUGCAAUACUGAUCGUAAUCAUAGCCAACAGAAGAAGCCUCUGGGGGAGGAAAGCUAUCUAUCUAUCUGGGUAUUUGAUUGACUGAUAUAUUCAUAGUAUUUACCCAUAUAUUUACCUUGAAAAUUGUACACAAAGUAACGUCGCUUGCAACCGGUGAACUGUAACUUGCAACAAAGAUGAACGGUCGCUCCUAAAAACAUUGCCUAUUGGCGUGAC